rnacentral:misc_RNA from 1 species
CACGCUCCGCACCGACGACAGUCAAGCUACACCUAACGCUAACAGCCAAAACCCCGACUUCACCGCCCGCCACUCUCUCUAUCCGCCGUCCCCGAAUUCCUCCUCGUCUCUCGCACAACCGACGUUGUCGUCUCACAUGGCGGGCGAAGGUCAGCAGCAGCAGCAGCAAGACCCCCCAGCGGGGCAUCAGGGCGUACCGGUGACGAACUAUCCCGAUGUGCUCGACUUCUCGAAGAUGGAGGAGGAGGUGCUGGCGAUGUGGCGGGAGAAGGAUUGCUUCCGCACUUCCAUGAAGCUCUCCGAGGGCCGCCAGCCGUUCAGCUUCUACGACGGCCCACCGUUCGCGACUGGCCUGCCGCACUACGGCCACAUCUUGGCUGGCACCAUCAAGGACAUGGUCACUCGCUUCGCCUACCAGACGAACCACCACGUCAUCCGUCGCUUCGGCUGGGACUGCCACGGUCUGCCGGUGGAGUACGAGAUCGACAAGAUGCUCGGCAUCAAGACGUCUCACGACGUGGCGAAGCUCGGCAUUGACAAGUAUAACGACGAGUGCAAGAAGAUCGUCACCCGCUACGUGGACGAAUGGAGGAAGACCGUCGAGCGCGUUGGCCGCUGGAUCGACUUUGACAACGACUACAAGACGAUGCACCUCACAUACAUGGAGAGUAUCUGGUGGGUUUUCUCGCAGCUGUGGGAGAAGAAGAUGGUGUACCGCGGCUUUCGCGUGAUGCCGUACUCGACCGCCUGCACGACGCCGCUGAGCAACUUCGAGGCUAACUCCAACUACAAGGAGGUCAGCGACCUCGCCGUGACGGUCGCCUUCCAGGCCCGCGCCGACCCCAACACAUACUUCCUGGCCUGGACCACCACGCCGUGGACGUUGCCGAGCAACCUCAGUUUGUGCGUGCACCCCGAGCUGGACUACGUGAAGGUGCUGGACAACAAGUCGAAGCGACACUACUGGCUCGCAGAGGCCCGCCUGGCGGAGGUGUACCCGAAGAAGGACAGCAAGAAGGCCUCCAAGGCGAAGGACGUGGACAACGCCGCGGAGGCCGAUGCCGCGCCGUACACGGUCGUCGAGAAAGUCAAGGGCGCGCAGCUAGUGGGCGAGAAGUACGUGCCACUUUUCCCGUACUUUGAGUCGUCCAUGAGCGCCACGGCCUUCCGCGUCAUCUCCGGUACCUACGUGACGACAGACGCUGGUACAGGUAUCGUGCACCAGGCCCCCGCUUUCGGUGAGGAUGAUUACCAGGCGUGCCUCGACGCCGGCAUCUUCGAGAAGGGCGGCAAGUUCGUCUGCCCGGUCGACGAGAACGGCAUGUUCACGAGCGAGGUGACGGAUUUCGCCGGCAAGUACGUCAAGGCGGCGGAUCCGGAGAUUAUCAAAGCGCUCGAGACGAAAGGGCACCUCUUUCACAAGGCGUCGAUUGUGCACAGCUACCCCUUCUGCUGGCGCAGCGACACCCCCCUCAUCUACAAGGCUGUCGAGUCGUGGUUUGUCAACGUCGAGGCCUUCCGCGACCGCCUCAUCGAGUGCAACGACAAGACGUACUGGGUACCUGAUUUUGUCAAGACCCGCCGCUUCUCCAACUGGCUCGCCGAGGCGCGUGACUGGAACGUGUCACGCAACCGUUACUGGGGCACGCCGAUGCCGGUCUGGCACAGCGAGGACUGGGAGGAGGUUGUGUGCAUCAGCAGCAUCAAGCAGCUCGAGGAGCUCUCCGGCGUCACCGGCAUCACCGACAUCCACCGCCAGUUCGUCGACGAUAUCACGAUCCCAAGUAAGCGGCCUGGCAUGCCGCCGCUGAAGCGUGUGCCGAUGGUGUUUGACUGCUGGUUCGAGUCCGGCUCGAUGCCGUACGCCCAGGAGCACUUCCCUUUCGAGAACCAGGAGAAGUUCAAGAGCCUGUUUCCGGCCGACUUUGUGUCGGAGGGCUUGGACCAGACGCGCGGCUGGUUCUACACCCUUCUCGUGCUCGGCGUUGCCCUCUUCGACGUCUCCCCUUUCCGCAACGUCGCCGUCAGCGGGCUCGUGCUCGCCGAGGACGGUAAGAAGAUGAGCAAGCGCCUCAAGAACUACCCUGAGCCGAAGGUGGUGAUCGACACGUACGGCGCGGAUGCCCUGCGCAUGUACAUGAUUAGCUCCCCGGUUGUGCGCGCCGAGCCGCUGCGCUUCCGCGAAGCAGGUGUGAAGGCCGUGGUCAAGGACAUCCUUCUGCCUCUGUUCAACGCCGCGAAGUUCUUCAUCUCGAACACAAACUACUGCACUGCGGCCGGUGGUCAGGUGUCGCUGCAGGUUCGCAGCACAAACGAGAUGGACCGCUGGAUUCUCGCCUCGUGCCAGAGUCUGCUGCGCUACGUGAAGGCGGAGAUGCGGCUGUACCACCUGUACAACGUCGUCCCCGGCAUUCUGCGUUUCGUCGGUGACCUGUCCAACUGGUACGUGCGCAUGAACCGCCGCCGCAUGAAGAACGCCACGGACAGCGAGGACCGCUCGCAGGCGCUGUCGACGAUGCUGUACCUCCUCUUCUCGGUGUCCCGCAUUGUGGGCCACAUCGCCCCCUUUGUGGCAGAAAUGCUUUACCAGCAGAUCAAGCCCCUCCUCCCGGCGAACGAGCAAGUGGACUCCGUGCACUACCUCAUGAUCCCCGACGAGGAUACCUCCUUGGACGACCCGGAGCUGGAGCGCGCCAUGUCCCGCAUGAUGAACAUUGUGGAUUUGGUGCGUGUGUUGCGCGAUCAGAUGGUCAUUCCGAUCAAGCGGCCGGUGCGUCAGGUUGUCAUUGUUCACCCGGACCAGCAGUACAUCGACGACGUGCGCAAGGUGGCGGGCUACAUCAAGGAUGAGGUGAACGCGUUCGAGAUUGUGAUGUCGAGUGGCGAGAAUUACCUGGAGACGAAGCUGGACGCAAACUUCGAGGUGCUUGGCAGGAAGUACCGCAAGGAGAUGCCCGCGAUCCGCAAGGGUAUCCAGGCCAUGACGCAGAAUGAGGUGGCCAAGUUCCUGCACGACAAGAAGGGCGUCGUCGUCGGCAAGGAGCUGACCAUCGAGGACGUGAAGGUGCUGCGCCAGGUAAAGGAGGGCAUUGCCGACUUCCAGAGCAACACUGACAACGACGUCGUUGUGCUGGUUGACAAGCGCCAGGAUCAGGAACUGAUUGACUCGUGGCGCGCGCGUGAGUUCGUGAGCCGCGUACAGCAGCUGCGUAAGAAGGCGAAGCUAGUGGUGACGGACGAGGUGGAUGUGUACUUUGAGGCGGAGGAGGCGGAUCUGACGGCGUCCAUCCUCCACUCUAAGGACCAGAUUAAUCAGACACUGAGGGGCGUGUGGACGACGAUGGACCAGAAGCCUAGCGACGCCGAGCUCGUCGCGGAGGAGGACAAUAACAUCUCGGGGGUGGCGGUGCGCCUCGUCUUCACCAAGCCCAAGGCUUAAAGUGCCGUAUGAAGAGGGUGGGUGGGAUGCAGGCCCUGCAGCAUUGGCCGCCAAAGUGGAUACCGAGCCCCCCCCCGACACGCACCCACAUCCAAGAGGAGGUUCGUCUCUUCGUUGAGCAUAGAGACGACCUCGCCAUGUCCGGUAGCUGCUGUCACGCCAACCAUUUCCUGCAUGAGUCUUCUACUGCCCCACUCACUCACCUACCCACCCUCCCUCCCACCCCACAAACGCACAUUCUGUCUUUGUUGUUUGCUCGUAUGACCCUUUACGUCUUACAAUUAUGAUCAUAUCUUGUCGUUUUCGUGUUUGUGUUGCUGGUGUGGAUGUGGCCCACCUCUGUGGUUAACUAACUCGGAAGCAGAGACUCGGUGAUUUUUCCCUAUUCACUCCGCCGUCUCUCGUCUUCUUUUUAAAAAGCCUUUUCUUUUGUUGUUGUUUUCUCUCUGUGCUCCACCUAAGCUCUGACAAACUCUCAAGCGUGCGCGCACGCCACACAGACACACACACACGCACACGCACACAGAGACAGACUCACAAACACGCUCCGUUCCCUCGCCUCUGUCCGUAGGUGUUGUGCAUUUCUAACGCGGUCAGCUCGAGUUCUUAUAUUUUUGUUUCUCGUUUCCUUUUUUUUUGUAGUGUUUGUGUUCUUUGCGUGCGUGCGUGCGUGCGCGUGUGUGUGUCUGUGCUCAGAGUGACCUCGUCUUCUUUUUUUUCUGUUCCCUGUGGAGAACCAGAUGGCGAAAAAGGGAGAAAGAACGAGAAAGAAAUCGGCACAUAUUGUGAAGCGAAUCGCCAGCCAUCGCCACCAGUCAGACCUCUGAUCCGCUCCAAUACAUGUAGAAAAGGGAGCGUCCAUAAAAUCAACUGCGGCCAAGUCACGGCGCAGUGCAGGCGGGCACGCGUGAACGUCGUCGUUGUCCGAUUCGCUUUUACUAUGAUUCUCUUCUUUGCCGCUUUUCCUUUCCGUUUCAGUGUUAACAUGGUAAGGAAACGCAGUGUGCCGUUACCUCCGUAGCACGUGCAUCGGUUAAAGUAACGAGUACUGUAGCACACAUCAAAACAUGACCACUACCACUCUGUGAUGCGCUGAGGGGGCAACGUGUCCCCCGCUGGAGAUCGAUUGUGUCUGUGCGCGCGCUCAUGACCAUGUGGUGAGGAACCAGUACGUCUGCGUAUCUUCGCCCUGUCGCCUUUUUCAUAAUGUUUUUUGUUUCUUUCGGUUUUCUAUGUUGCCAUCUAAUGGAUAAGUCGCCCACUCAUCUUCACUCCAUCUUUAUCGUUAGAGGUCUGCUAGAAGGUUACACUCGCUUACAUGCGCCUCCUGCUCACUCGAACUCACGAAGAGGAAGAAACAAACUUUUCGGGUUUUUUUCUGGUGUCCCCUCUCCGUCCCCCCCCCACCUCCCCGCUCCCUAAUCCUCCUCCUCGGAUUGCCUCUGAUGACACGAUCGUUGUGCCGUUGUCGUCGUGCUGCUUGUUUGUUGUUGUGUGCGUCUUUCUGUGGACGCUGGGUCGUUGUCGAACGCUCAUGAGGAGGAGCCGCUGCAGUCGUCGAGGAUAGCGGUGCAAGGGCACGUCCUCGCCGUUGCAGUGGUGCUUCUCAUCCCUUUCGGUCCUUGUGCGGCUUGCAGAACGUAAUGAGCGGUGUGGCGCGCUCGCUGAUAGCCUAAAGUGGAAAUGUCGCACGCAAAAAAAAAGAUAUUCAAGGUGGAAUGGAAUGUGUAGGAUGUUUGUUGUUGGCCCGGAGGUAGUGGUGGUGGUCUCUUGUGUUGUAUGCAUGGCGUUUGGUGAUAAUUAUCGUGAUCCUCUCUCUCUGUUCUCUCCUCUCCUCUCCUCCUCCUCCUCCACACCUCAAGUGCUUAUUAUUAUAUAUAUAUAUAUAUAUAUUUGCAGGUUGGUGUGCGUAGUUGGGAAGGGGGGAGCGGGGAGGUGAACGCACGGACGAGAGCAUAAUAGUGUCGCAUGCUUUUCCCCUUCGCCCCUGUGAGAAUCAGGCGAUCAAAAGAAGAGGUCACCGAGUGCGCGCUGUGGGAAAAAAAGCGACAAUCAAGGGAAUGCAGGCUGGCGACAACAACGCGUCUCGGCGCCAACGCGUGUGAAGCGCGGACGACGGUGUUUCCAGAGGGGAACACACACACACACACACAAAAAGAGGUGCGUCUUUUUAGUGGUGCCGUUAUGACUUAAGAGGGUAAAUGGGGGCUUUGCCGCAAGGCUUGUUUGCGACACACUCUACGCAAUGCAAGGAUGCGGAUCUGCCGAGACCGGUGGCCCAUUUGCCUUGUCGUAGUUCGUGACGUAAGCUCUUCACAGAAGAUGUUUUUUUUUUUUAAUCACCCAUUUCUUCUUCGCUGCUAUUCUCAUCUUCUCUCCCACCUGUCGCCUUCCCUCUGCUGACAUCCACCUUUUCUUUCGUCGCACGCCGUCAAAG